CUUCGCAGAAGCAGGAUUUCCUUGUCCUCCUUUCAGAAAUCCAUCAGGUCAUUUCCUCCGGUGCCGUAACUCUGAUUUCUACAAAGUUAAGGCGAAUCUGAGAGAGAUGAUCAAAGACAAUCCUAGAAGGAUCUACAAAGUAUCGUUAUCCGCGUUGAGGAAGAACCAGUAGAACAUCAACAGAAACAGAUCCUAAUUCUAAGAGUCGGCUCCCACUGGUAAUGAGCUUUGGCAUUUAUGUGUCAAGGGAUGAAAAAUUUACACCCUUAAAGAUGACCGACUUUAUUGAAAUGCACUUAAGGUCAUCGUUCAGCUCGUUAUCCCCGAGCUCGAGUCUUUAGGAAACAUCAACCUUAAUGAGUUCAACAGCUUUGAAGAUAUUUUAAAAAUUUAUGGAGGAGGCAUCAAUCUUCCUGAUGCCGUUUUGCAGAGAAGUAGUACAGGGAUGCUGUAGGAAUUUAUUCAAAGUUCUGGUCAGGAGUUUCUUAAGUAUCCAAUGCCACAAAUUAUAAAAGGUACUUUUGGAUGAAACAGCAUUCUUGCAGUUUAGUACCUAAAGUUGAAUGUGUUUUAGAAUUUACAAGGAGUUCCUUAUCUAGCAAUUGGCAAGCAUCUUUGUGAGACUACUACAGAUAAGGCUCUAAGAUAUUGCAUCAGCAAACAAUGCAAUCAACCUAAUGAUGCUUAUUCUGAAUCGACGUGCCACCUAACUUGCCUAGCUACAAAUAUCAAAUAAAUUUGUCUCUAUUAAAGAUCCUCCUGAUAGCAUAUCAUUGUUAUCCAAGUUGCCAUAGUUUCGCUAGGAAAAAGAAAUAAUAGUUCAAUUGUUGAAACACUCUGUUUUUUUUUGUUUUUGUUUUUUUUUAUAACUUGAACAUGUUGUUGUUUUCAUAAUUCAUAUUUUCUUUAUGAAAACAAGAAACUGGUUGUAUUGUUUGUUCUUGUUCUGUAUGAAUGAUGUUGUUUGAGUUGUGUAAUUCUUCUCUUACUAUUUUUUAAUUGGUUUUCUGAUUAAA